UAUUUCACUGAGGAUUCUGUGCA
rnacentral:miRNA from 1 species